rnacentral:rRNA from 1 species
AUUGAACGCUGGCGGCAGGCCUAACACAUGCAAGUCGAGCGGAUGACGGGAGCUUGCUCCUGGAUUCAGCGGCGGACGGGUGAGUAAUGCCUAGGAAUCUGCCUGGUAGUGGGGGAUAACGUCCGGAAACGGGCGCUAAUACCGCAUACGUCCUGAGGGAGAAAGUGGGGGAUCUUCGGACCUCACGCUAUCAGAUGAGCCUAGGUCGGAUUAGCUAGUUGGUGGGGUAAAGGCCUACCAAGGCGACGAUCCGUAACUGGUCUGAGAGGAUGAUCAGUCACACUGGAACUGAGACACGGUCCAGACUCCUACGGGAGGCAGCAGUGGGGAAUAUUGGACAAAGGGCGAAAGCCUGAUCCAGCCAUGCCGCGUGUGUGAAGAAGGUCUUCGGAUUGUAAAGCACUUUAAGUUGGGAGGAAGGGCAGUAAGUUAAUACCUUGCUGUUUUGACGUUACCAACAGAAUAAGCACCGGCUAACUUCGUG